UUUCCGUAGGUGAACCUGCGGAAGGAUCAUUAUUGAAUAAACCUGAUGUGACUGUUAGCUGGCUUUUCGAAGCAUGUGCUCGUCCGUCAUCUUUAAUCUCUCCACCUGUGCACAUUUUGUAGUCUUGGAUACCUCUCGAGGCAACUCGGAUUUUAGGAUCGCCGUGCUGCACAAGUCGGCUUUCCUUUCAUUUCCAAGACUAUGUUUUUAUAUACACCAAAGUAUGUCUAAAGAAUGUCAUCAAUAGGAACUUGUUUCCUAUAAAAUUAUACAACUUUCAGCAACGGAUCUCUUGGCUCUC
rnacentral:misc_RNA from 1 species